ACUUAGGAAUCCGCCAGAGGAGGGAACGGGGCAGGAGGAUCUCUCCGUAUGGAUGUGGUAAGUUCUCCGUUACAUCACAGAGGUCCUUAAACCAAGGAAUGGUUAGUGGAAUUGAGUGCGGUGUUUGUUCAACUCACGUUGGAGAAUGGGCAGGUUCGUUGGAGGGCAGCCAGCCUUAGUGGAUCCGCGGAGUCAGCCAAAAAGGUACCGAGGACUGGAUCGGAACCGGGGUCCUCUUCCAGGGCCAGAAAGCAAGAUGCCGGGAACCUAGGAGGAUCACACAGGAGAGAGAAGAUUUAGGAAUCCGCCAGAGGAGGGAACGGGGCAGGAGGAUCUCUCCGUAUGGAUGUGAGUGUGCAGGUUCGUUUGCUGGCAUUCAGAAGUUCCGGAGCUUGGAGGGCAGCCAGCCUUAGUGGAUC